rnacentral:rRNA from 1 species
GACGAACGCUGGCGGCGUGCCUAAUACAUGCAAGUAGAACGCUGAAGGAGGAGCUUGCUUCUCUGGAUGAGUUGCGAACGGGUGAGUAACGCGUAGGUAACCUGCCUGGUAGCGGGGAUAACUAUUGGAAACGAUAGCUAAUACCGCAUAAUAGUAGAUGUUGCAUGACAUUUGCUUAAAAGGUGCAAUUGCAUCACUACCAGAUGGACCUGCGUUGUAUUAGCUAGUUGGUGGGGUAACGGCUCACCAAGGCGACGAUACAUAGCCGACCUGAGAGGGUGAUCGGCCACACUGGGACUGAGACACGGCCCAGACUCCUACGGGAGGCAGCAGUAGGGAAUCUUCGGCAAUGGACGGAAGUCUGACCGAGCAACGCCGCGUGAGUGAAGAAGGUUUUCGGAUCGUAAAGCUCUGUUGUAAGAGAAGAACGAGUGUGAGAGUGGAAAGUUCACACUGUGACGGUAUCUUACCAGAAAGGGACGGCUAACUACGUG